rnacentral:rRNA from 1 species
AUUGAACGCUAGCGGGAUGCCUUACACAUGCAAGUCGAACGGCAGCACGGACUUCGGUCUGGUGGCGAGUGGCGAACGGGUGAGUAAUGUAUCGGAACGUGCCUAGUAGCGGGGGAUAACUACGCGAAAGCGUAGCUAAUACCGCAUACGCCCUACGGGGGAAAGCAGGGGAUCGCAAGACCUUGCACUAUUAGAGCGGCCGAUAUCGGAUUAGCUAGUUGGUGGGGUAACGGCUCACCAAGGCGACGAUCCGUAGCUGGUUUGAGAGGACGACCAGCCACACUGGGACUGAGACACGGCCCAGACUCCUACGGGAGGCAGCAGUGGGGAAUUUUGGACAAUGGGGGAAACCCUGAUCCAGCCAUCCCGCGUGUGCGAUGAAGGCCUUCGGGUUGUAAAGCACUUUUGGUAGGAAAGAAACGUCAUGGGUUAAUACCCCGUGAAACUGACGGUACCUGCAGAAUAAGCACCGGCUAACUACGUGCCAGCAGCCGCGGUAAUACGUAGGGUGCAAGCGUUAAUCGGAAUUACUGGGCGUAAAGCGUGCGCAGGCGGUUCGGAAAGAAAGAUGUGAAAUCCCAGAGCUUAACUUUGGGACUGCAUUUUUAACUACCGAGCUAGAGUGUGUCAGAGGGAGGUGGAAUUCCGCGUGUAGCAGUGAAAUGCGUAGAUAUGCGGAGGAACACCGAUGGCGAAGGCAGCCUCCUGGGAUAACACUGACGCUCAUGCACGAAAGCGUGGGGAGCAAACAGG